UCUCCGUUGGUGAACCAGCGGAGGGAUCAUUACAGAGUUUUCACAACUCCCAACCUUUGCGAACCGUACCCAUUCUGUUCUCGUUGCUUCCGGCGGGUGGGACGGGGGGGCCCUAAACGUCCUCCCCGCCCCGCCCGCCGGGUGCGGCGUGCCCUACGAACCUUUUUAUCUCCUCCCCCCGCCACCGUCCUAGAAAACCAUCAUCAUAAUCCAAACUUACAACAACGGAUCUCUUGCAUCUGGCAUCGAUGAAGAACGCAUCAGAUCGUAAGCACCCAC
rnacentral:misc_RNA from 1 species